rnacentral:rRNA from 1 species
CCUACGGGUGGCAGCAGUGAGGAAUAUUGGUCAAUGGACGAGAGUCUGAACCAGCCAAGUAGCGUGAAGGAUGACUGCCCUAUGGGUUGUAAACUUCUUUUAUAUGGGAAUAAAAUGUUCCACGUGUGGGAUUUUGUAUGUACCAUAUGACUAAGGAUCGGCUAACUCCGUGCCAGCAGCCGCGGUAAUACGGAGGAUCCGAGCGUUAUCCGGAUUUAUUGGGUUUAAAGGGAGCGUAGGUGGAUUGUUAAGUCAGUUGUGAAAGUUUGCGGCUCAACCGUAAAAUUGCAGUUGAUACUGGCAGUCUUGAGUACAGUAGAGGUGGGCGGAAUUCGUGGUGUAGCGGUGAAAUGCUUAGAUAUCACGAAGAACUCCGAUUGCGAAGGCAGUUCACUGGACUGCAACUGACACUGAGGCUCGAAAGUGUGGGUAUCAAACAGGAUUAGAUACCCCAGUAGUC